rnacentral:rRNA from 1 species
AUUGAACGCCGGCGGCAUGCCUUACACAUGCAAGUCGAACGGCAGCACGGAGCUUGCUCUGGUGGCGAGUGGCGAACGGGUGAGUAAUAUAUCGGAACGUACCCAAGAGUGGGGGAUAACGUAGCGAAAGUUACGCUAAUACCGCAUACGAUCUAAGGAUGAAAGCAGGGGACCGCAAGGCCUUGUGCUCCUGGAGCGGCCGAUAUCUGAUUAGGUAGUUGGAGAGGUAAAGGCUCACCAAGGCAUCGAUCAGUAGCUGGUCUGAGAGGACGACAAGCCACACUGAAGCUGAGGCACGGUCCAAGAUCUUACGGGACGCAGCAGUAGGGUAUUGUGGAGAAUGGUGGCAACCCUAAUGCAGCAAUGCCGCGUGAGUGAAGAAGGGCUUCGGGUUGUAAAGCUCUUUGGUCAGGGAAGAAACGGUGAAGGCUAAUAUCCUUUGCUAAUGACGGUACCUGAAGAAUAAGCACCGGCUAACUACCUGCCAGCCGCCGCCGUAA